AUUGAACGCUGGCGGCAUGCCUUACACAUGCAAGUCGAACGGCAGCAUGAUCUAGCUUGCUAGAUUGAUGGCGAGUGGCGAACGGGUGAGUAAUACAUCGGAACGUGCCCUGUAGUGGGGGAUAACUAGUCGAAAGAUUAGCUAAUACCGCAUACGACCUGAGGGUGAAAGUGGGGGACCGCAAGGCCUCAUGCUAUAGGAGCGGCCGAUGUCUGAUUAGCUAGUUGGUGAGGUAAAGGCUCACCAAGGCGACGAUCAGUAGCUGGUCUGAGAGGACGAUCAGCCACACUGGGACUGAGACACGGCCCAGACUCCCACGGGAGGCAGCAGUGGGGAAUUUUGGACAAUGGGCGAAAGCCUGAUCCAGCAAUGCCGCGUGUGUGAAGAAGGCCUUCGGGUUGUAAAGCACUUUUGUCCGGAAAGAAAUGGCUCUGGUUAAUACCUGGGGUCGAUGACGGUACCGGAAGAAUAAGGACCGGCUAACUACGUG
rnacentral:rRNA from 1 species